rnacentral:rRNA from 1 species
GAUGAACGCUGGCGGCGUGCCUAAUACAUGCAAGUCGAGCGAACAGAUGAGGAGCUUGCUCCUCUGACGUUAGCGGCGGACGGGUGAGUAACACGUGGAUAACCUACCUAUAAGACUGGGAUAACUUCGGGAAACCGGAGCUAAUACCGGAUAAUAUAUUGAACCGCAUGGUUCAAUAGUGAAAGACGGUUUUGCUGUCACUUAUAGAUGGAUCCGCGCCGCAUUAGCUAGUUGGUAAGGUGACGGCUUACCAAGGCAACGAUGCGUAGCCGACCUGAGAGGGUGAUCGGCCACACUGGAACUGAGACACGGUCCAGACUCCUACGGGAGGCAGCAGUAGGGAAUCUUCCGCAAUGGGCGAAAGCCUGACGGAGCAACGCCGCGUGAGUGAUGAAGGUCUUCGGAUCGUAAAACUCUGUUAUUAGGGAAGAACAACUGUGUAAGUAACUAUGCACGUCUUGACGGUACCUAAUCAGAAAGCCACGGCUAACUACGUG